UUUCUUCUUCCCAGAAUUCUGCUGUCCUCAUCUUUUUAUAUUUGUUUCACUCCUGAGACAGAGUCUUACGAAGCCAAAGCUGACAUCAAGGAUGCCACGUGGCUGACAAUGUGACUCUGAAUUCCAGAUCCUCCCAAGCGCUUGGACAUAGGUGAAGGGGAUCCUGUGGCUAUCUAAAUCCUCCAUUCACAUUCAACUCCCGAGUCUCUAGUGUGUGCCUUUAUGCAUGCUGAUUAACCUCUCUGGACCUCAUUUUAAUCACCUGUAAGAUGAUAUUAUGGCACGAGGUUGUUGUGAGGAGCAAGCAUGUGAAUACACAGAGAACAUUUGGAGCAUCGGCGGAAAACCUUCCUUGGACUCAGCUACCACAGUGAAUUCUGGUAUCCACUUAGGUGGCAGUGGAAAUAACGGUGUACCGAUGUGAACAAGCAGCUUCACACGCUUGCUGCCACAGCUGAGAACCGUUCUCUUUGCUUUGCUCUCCAUGCUCUGAUGGACCUUACCCUUAAACCAUUAGUCAAAAGAAACCCUUCAACAGGUGAUGGCAUCCUGCCUUGUGCUGGAGCAAGGAAGAAGAAUGCUGGUCUCCAACUAUGUUCUUAUACAGAAAGGGCAUCUGGGGCUCACCAGAGGAAAGCUCAAAAGCCAUGUGAGAGAGCCAAAUUAAAGCCUCAGAACUUUGGAAGAGAGAAGGUUUGAAUUACUGCCAGACCAGCCUUACCAGGCCACAGAAGAAGACAAUGAAACCACUACUGAUGAGCCGUGAUAGACGAGGAUCAGAGGGAAGGGGAGGAGGACCUCCUUUUUCAGUGGACUGGGAGAGGGA